CGCGUAGGUGGCCUGAUAAGGGUGUGGUGAAAGUCCGGGGCUCAACCCCGGAUCUGCCGUGCCGACUGUCAGGCUAGAGUACUGUAGGGGCAGGCGGAAUUCCGGGUGUAGCGGUGGAAUGCGUAGAGAUCCGGAGGAAGACCGGUGGCGAAGGCGGCCUGCUGGGCAGUUACUGACACUGAGGCGCGACAGCGUGGGGAGCAAACA
rnacentral:rRNA from 1 species